rnacentral:rRNA from 1 species
CGGGGUGCAGCAGGCGCGAAAACUUUGCAAUGCGGGAAACCGUGACAAGGGAACUCUGAGUGCCCGUUAAAUCGGGCUGUCCAUCGGUUUAAAUAACCGGUGAAGAAAGGGCCGGGCAAGACCGGUGCCAGCCGCCGCGGUAAUACCGGCGGCUCGAGUGGUGGCCACUAUUACUGGGCUUAAAGCGUUCGUAGCUGGUUUGUUAAGUCUCUGGGGAAAUCUUCCGGCUUAACCGGAAGGCGUCUCAGGGAUACUGGCAGACUAGGGACCGGGAGAGGUGAGAGGUACUCCAGGGGUAGGAGUGAAAUCCUGUAAUCCUUGGGGGACCACCUGUGGCGAAGGCGUCUCACCAGAACGGCUCCGACAGUGAGGGACGAAAGCUGGGGGAGCAAACCGGAUUAGAUACCCGGGUAGUCCCAGCUGUAAACGAUGUGCGUUAGGUGUAUCGGUGACCACGAGUCACCGAGGUGCCGAAGAGAAAUCGUGAAACGUACCGCCUGGGAAGUACGGUCGCAAGGCUGAAACUUAAAGGAAUUGGCGGGGGAGCACAAGGGCGAAUGC